CCUACGGGAGGCAGCAGUGGGGAAUAUUGCACAAUGGGGGGAACCCUGAUGCAGCGACGCCGCGUGGGUGAAGGAGUAUUUCGGUAUGUAAAGCCCUAUCAGCAGGGAAGAACAAUGACGGUACCUGACUAAGAAGCACCGGCGAAAUACGUGCCAGCAGCCGCGGUAAUACGGAUGGUGCAAGCGUUAUCCGGAUUUACUGGGGGUAAAGGGAGCGCAGGCGGGGCGUUAAGCGUGGUGGGAAAGUCCGCGGCCCAACCGCGGGACUGCAUUGGGAACUGGCGCGCUGGAGUGCCGGAGGGGUAGGCGGAAUUCCUAGUGUAGCGGUGAAAUGCGUAGAUAUUAGGAGGAACACCAGUGGCGAAGGCGGCCUACUGGACGGUGACUGACGCUGAGGCUCGAAAGCGUGGGGAGCAAACAGGAUUAGAUACCCUUGUAGUC
rnacentral:rRNA from 1 species